UACAGAGGGUGCAAGCGUUGUUCGGAAUUAUUGGGCGUAAAGGGAGUGUAGGCGGCUUGUUAAGUCUUCUGUGAAAUCUACGGGCUCAGCCUGUAACGUGCAGAGGAAACUGGCGAGCUUGAGUGUCGGAGAGGAUAGGGGAAUACCCGGUGUAGAGGUGAAAUUCGUAGAGAUCGGGUGGAACACCAGUGGCGAAGGCGCCUAUCUGGCUGACAACUGACGCUGAGACUCGAAAGCGUGGGGAGCAAACAGG
rnacentral:rRNA from 1 species